CUCAGGUUUACUUACAAUGAAAAUAAUGCGCGUGCAAACUGCCCCCAAGAUACCACUUUUCACUUCUCAGACAGAGGAAUGUCCACAUUUCGGCAGGCACUCUGGUCAGGCCUGUGCAAACCCUCACACCUGGGCAAGGGGACUACGGAACAGGACAAUCCCCACGAGGAGGCAUAUGUACACAUAUAUCCCAUAGGAUUUGUUUCUCUUGAGGUCUUCACUAAUAC
rnacentral:lncRNA from 1 species